GGAAAAUUCAAGAAUAAUUAAUAAGAUUUGUUCUUUCAAUAAUCAGAACUACAAUUUCGAAUAAAUGAUAUAGCAAAAAUAUGAUUUAUACAAAGUGAAAUCUACUUCAUACUUCAAAACAUUCUUCGUGUAAAAAUUAACGCCACUCAGAUUCUAAUUGAUUUCAUCUUGAAAAAGUUUAAGUGAUAAUAUAGUCGCCUGAGUUUUUAUCCUGACAAUGAAAUAAGAUGUGAAACGAGAAGCAAGAAUAAAAAGAAAAUAAUCCACACUCGUUAAAUCAGCGUACAGGAGUAGUUUGAGCCAUUACUCUGGAAAGAAAGAUGCUAGAAAAAGUUCAAAGGAGUACCGU